CUUUGGGCUCCAUUCUGCAUCCCAAAGUCCCCUGGCAUUUUGGGCAGAGUGCUGAAUUUGGAGCCAAGAACACUGGAAUCCUGCCUCCCAUUCUUCCCAGCUGUGUGAGCCCGACCAAAUCCCCACCUCUUGGGCCCUGCUUUUCUCAUUUCUGAAACGGGGAUCGUGAUAAGACCACAUUUGUAACAAGCUUUGCAAACCUUAGAGGACAUGAUUAUGAUGAUGAUCAACUGCUCCCUCACCAGGAGUCAGUGAUAGUCCCUCCCAUGUGCUCAUGCCCCUCCCUCAACUAUAUCUACCACUAUCUCUUCUGAGGCAAAAGCUUCUCACAGAUCCAGCCAGGAGGAACAGCAGCUGUGCACAAAGGCUCCAAGAUGAAGGCUUUCUUCCUCCUCCUCCUUCUUUGCCUUGGGGCCAUGAUUCAGAUCGCGGUUAAAUUGGAAGGCCCAACAGUUUGAACCUCAUGGGAUUGUAUCCGAUUCCUGGGGAGAGAAGAAGGAUUAUCCCAGUUGUUGAGUAGGGGAGCGAGCAGGACUUGAUGGAUAGAUUCACUUACAACUACUUCCUCCUCAAUACUCCCCCUCUCCAAGGUACCCACCCAGUUGCCACAGGCCUCCAACCCGACAUCAGCAACCCCAACGCCAACGACGAGCCAGUCAUCUCAGAUGUUCCACGGACCCUUUACCUGGAGCAUCCUCCUCCUCACCGGAGUCCUCGCUUACCUCCUCCAGCUACACUGAGACCUGAGACCGAGACUGUGGAGACCAGCAGCACUGGCCCUUGA
rnacentral:lncRNA from 1 species